CCUACGGGAGGCAGCAGUGAGGAAUAUUGGUCAAUGGACGAGAGUCUGAACCAGCCAAGUAGCGUGAAGGAUGACUGCCCUAUGGGUUGUAAACUUCUUUUAUAAAGGAAUAAAACGAGGCACGCGUGCCUUUCUGCAUGUACUUUAUGAAUAAGGAUCGGCUAACUCCGUGCCAGCAGCCGCGGUAAUACGGAGGAUCCGAGCGUUAUCCGGAUUUAUUGGGUUUAAAGGGAUCGUAGCUGGGUGGUUAAGUCAGUUGUGAAAGUUUGCGGCUCAACCGUAAAAUUGCAAUUGAUACUGGCAGUCUUGAGUACAGUUGAGGUAAGCGGAAUGCGUGGUGUAGCGGUGAAAUGCUUAGAUAUCACGAAGAACCCCGAUUGCGAAGGCAGCUUACUAAACUGUGACUGACAUUGAUGCUCGAAAGUGUGGGUAUCAAACAGGAUUAGAUACCCGGGUAGUC
rnacentral:rRNA from 1 species